rfam:Gossypium raimondii Chr06_contig_817, whole genome shotgun sequence.
UGUUAAAAAUUACAUCCAUUUCUAUUGUUAAAAAUUGGUGUGCCUAAUAGAAUAACUAGACAGUUACAGGUAACGUGUCAUGUGUACCUCAUUCUGACGUAUAGUAGUAAUGGAUGGAAUUUUUAUCA